CCUGCCAGUAAUCAUAUGCUUGACUCAAAGAUUAAGCCAUGCAUGUCUAAGUAUAAGCAAUUAUACGGCGAAACUGCGGAUGGCUCAUUAUAUCAGUACCAAUUUACUUGAGGAGAUAAUACUACUUGGAUAACUGUAGUAAUUCUAGAGCUAAUACAUGCACGGACGGUGGAACGGGUUCGCCCGCGAAGCCUGCAUUUAUUAGAAUCAGAACUGAUUUGGGGCAUUCAACUCGGGCAACCGGGGUCCCAAUUUAAGUUGAAUCAAAGUAAACGUAAAGCGAAUCGAGGGCUUCGGUCCUCGAUACAACAAACAAGGUUCUGACCUAUCAACUUUCGAUGGUAGUAUAGGGGACUACCAUGGUGAUAACGGGUAACGGGGAAUUAGGGUUUGAUUCCGGAGAGGGAGCCUGAGAAAUGGCUACCACUUCCAAGGAAGGCAGCAGGCGCGCAAAUUACCCAAUCCCAAUACGGGGAGGUAGUGACAAGAAAUAGCAAUGUGAGACCCUAUGGGUAUCACGAUUGGAAUGAGAACAAUUUAAACCACUUAACGAGGAACAAUUGGAGGGCAAGUCUGGUGCCAGCAGCCGCGGUAAUUCCAGCUCCAAUAGUGUAUAUUAAAGUUGUUGCGGUUAAAAAGCUCGUAGUUGGACUCCGGGUUUGAGUGCAAUGGUUCCUCUGGGCUUGCUCAGGGGGUUAAGGCCGUGCAUUUCAAUCCUUUACUUGAAACGUAAAAACAGGGGGUAAAACCUUUGUGUUUCGAGAUUUUACUUUGAAUGAAUUAGAGUGUUUAAAGCAGGCCAACGCGCCUUGAAUAUUUUAGCAUGGGAUAAUAGAAUACGACUUUGGUCUAUCUUGUUGGUUUCUAAGGCCAGGGUAAUGAUUAAUAGGGUCAGUUGAGGUCGCUUGUAUUCAGUGGUCAGAGGUGAAAUUCUAAGACCCACUGAGGACAAACAAAUGCGAAGGCAUUCGACAAGGAUGUUUUCAUUAAUCAAGAACGAAAGUUGUGGGAUCGAAGAUGAUUAGAUACCGUCGUAGUCACAA
rnacentral:rRNA from 1 species